GAUGAACGCUGGCGGCGUGCCUAAUACAUGCAAGUCGAGCGAACGGACGAGAAGCUUGCUUCUCUGAUGUUAGCGGCGGACGGGUGAGUAACACGUGGAUAACCUACCUAUAAGACUGGGAUAACUUCGGGAAACCGGAGCUAAUACCGGAUGAUAUUUUGAACCGCAUGGUUCAAAAGUGAAAGACGGUCUUGCUGUCACUUAUAGAUGGAUCCGCGCUGCAUUAGCUAGUUGGUAAGGUAACGGCUUACCAAGGCAACGAUGCAUAGCCGACCUGAGAGGGGGAUCGGCCACACUGGAACUGAGACACGGUCCAGACACCUACGGGAGGCAGCAGUAGGGAAUCUUCCGCAAUGGGCGAAAGCAUGACGGAGCAACGCCGCGUGAGUGAUGAAGGUCUUCGGAUCGUAAAACUCUGUUAUUAGGGAAGAACAUAUGUGUAAGUAACUGUGCACAUCUUGACGGUACCUAAUCAGAAAGCCACGGCUAACUACGUG
rnacentral:rRNA from 1 species